rnacentral:rRNA from 1 species
AGAGUUUGAUCCUGGCUCAGGAUUAACGCUGGCGGCAUGCCUAAUACAUGCAAGUCGAACGAGAUAUUUAUAUCUAGUGGCGAACGGGUGAGUAAUGUAUUUCUAACGUACCCCAAAGUGUGGGAUAACUACCGGAAACAGUAGCUAAUACCGCAUAGGAUAUCGGAAGGCAUCUUCUGAUGUUUAAAGAAGCGUUUGCUUCGCUAUGGGAUCGGGAAAUAUGACAUUAGUUAGUUGGUAGGGUAAUGGCCUACCAAGACGAUGAUGUCUAGCCGAGCUGAGAGGUUGAUCGGCCACAAUGGGACUGAGACACGGCCCAUACUCCUACGGGAGGCAGCAGUAGGGAAUUUUCCACAAUGGACGAAAGUCUGAUGGAGCAAUGCCGCGUGAGGGAUGAAGGUCUUCGGAUCGUAAACCUCUGUUGUAAGGGAAGAAACUCCCGGAUAGGAAAUGAUCCGGGUCUGACGGUACCUUACCAGAAAGUCACGGCUAACUAUGUGCCAGCAGCCGCGGUAAUACAUAGGUGGCGAGCGUUAUCCGGAUUUAUUGGGCGUAAAGAGUGCACAGGUGGUUUAUCAAGUCAGGCGUUAAAGCCCGGGGCUCAACUCCGGUUCGCGUCUGAAACUGAUAGACUAGAAUGUCGGUGGGGUUAGUAGAAUUCCAUGUGUAGCGGUGGAAUGCAUAAAUAUAUGGAGGAAUACCAGUGGCGAAGGCGGCUAACUGAACGAUUAUUGACACUUAAGCACGAAAGCGUGGGGAGCAAAUAGGAUUAGAUACCCUAGUAGUCCACGCCGUAAACGAUCCAGACUAGACGUUGGGGUUACCCAGUGUCACAGCUAACGCAUUAAGUCUGGCGCCUGAGUAGUAUGCGCGCAAGCGUGAAACUCAAAGGAAUUGACGGGGACCCGCACAAGCGGUGGAGCAUGU